UACGGGGGGGGCAAGCGUUGUUCGGAAUUACUGGGCGUAAAGGGCUCGUAGGCGGCCAACUAAGUCAGACGUGAAAUCCCUCGGCUUAACCGGGGAACUGCGUCUGAUACUGGAUGGCUUGAAUCCGGGAGAGGGAUGCGGAAUUCCGGGUGUAGGCGGUGGAAUGGCGUAGAGAUCCGGAAGAACACCGGUGGCGAAGGCGGCCCGGCUGGGGUGGAGCUGGACGCUGA
rnacentral:rRNA from 1 species